rnacentral:rRNA from 1 species
UACGGGGGGGGCAAGCGUUGUUCGGAAUUACUGGGCGUAAAGGGUUCGUAGGUGGCCCGCUAAGUCACACGUGAAAUCCCUCAGCUCAACUGGGGAACUGCGUGUGAGACUGGCAGGCUCGAGUGCAGGAGAGGAACGCGGAAUUCCAGGUGUAGCGGUGAAAUGCGUAGAUAUCUGGAGGAACACCGGUGGCGAAGGCGGCGUUCUGGACUGUAUCUGACACUGAGGAACGAAAGCCAGGGGAGCAAACGGG